rnacentral:rRNA from 1 species
GUACACUCCUGCGGGAGGCAGCAGUGGGGAAUAUUGCACAAUGGGCGCAAGCCUGAUGCAGCCAUGCCGCGUGUAUGAAGAAGGCCUUCGGGUUGUAAAGUACUUUCAGCGGGGAGGAAGGCGAUAAGGUUAAUAACCUUGUCGAUUGACGUUACCCGCAGAAGAAGCACCGGCUAACUCCGUGCCAGCAGCCGCGGUAAUACGGAGGGUGCAAGCGUUAAUCGGAAUUACUGGGCGUAAAGCGCACGCAGGUGGUCUGUCAAGUCGGAUGUGAAAUCCCCGGGCUCAACCUGGGAACUGCAUUCGAAACUGGCAGGCUAGAGUCUUGUAGAGGGGGGUAGAAUUCCAGGUGUAGCGGUGAAAUGCGUAGAGAUCUGGAGGAAUACCGGUGGCGAAGGCGGCCCCCUGGACAAAGACUGACGCUCAGGUGCGAAAGCGUGGGGAGCAAACAGGAUUAGAUACCCCGGUAGUCCCAUGAU